rnacentral:rRNA from 1 species
GACGAACGCUGGCGGCGUGCUUAACACAUGCAAGUCGAACGGAAAGGCCCUGCUUUUGUGGGGUGCUCGAGUGGCGAACGGGUGAGUAACACGUGAGUAACCUGCCCUUGACUUUGGGAUAACUUCAGGAAACUGGGGCUCAUACCGGAUAGGAGCUCCUGCUGCAUGGGGGGGGUUGGAAAGUUUCGGCGGUUGGGGAUGGGCUCGCGGCUUAUCAGCUUGUUGGUGGGGUAGUGGCUUACCAAGGCUUUGACGGGUAGGCCGCCUGGGAGGGGGAACGGGCACCAUAGUGCUACGGUAGCGACCAGUCUCCUACGGGAGGCAGCAGUGGAGAAUAUUGCACAAUGGGCGGAAGCCUGAUGCAGCAACGCCGCGUGCGGGAUGACGGCUUUCGGGUUGUAAACCGCUUUCGACUGUGACGAAGCGUGAGUGACGGUAAUGGGUAAAGAAGCACCGGCUAACUACGUG